GGGGCGAGCACCGGAUCCUGGGCUGUGUCCCCUGGUGCCCUGGGCUCCCGGGCCUGCGCCGCUGGAAUCGCUCUCCCGGGGCCGCGCAGCCCCCU
rnacentral:pre_miRNA from 1 species